UACGUAGGGGGCUAGCGUUGUCCGGAUUUAUUGGGCGUAAAGAGCUCGUAGGCGGUUUGUUGCGUCGGCCGUGAAAACCUGCAGCUUAACUGUGGGCCUGCGGCCGAUACGGGCAGACUUGAGUUCGGUAGGGGAGACUGGAAUUCCUGGUGUAGCGGUGAAAUGCGCAGAUAUCAGGAGGAACACCGGUGGCGAAGGCGGGUCUCUGGGCCGAUACUGACGCUGAGGAGCGAAAGCUAGGGGAGCAAACGGG
rnacentral:rRNA from 1 species